UUGGAGGGCAAGUCUGGUGCCAGCAGCCGCGGUAAUUCCAGCUCCAAUAGCGUAUAUUAAAGUUGUUGCAGUUAAAAAGCUCGUAGUUGAACCUUGGGUCUGGCUGGUCGGUCCGCCUCACCGCGAGUACUGAUCCGGCUGGACCUUUCCUUCUGGGGAACCUCAUGGCCUUCACUGGCUGUGGGGGGAACCAGGACUUUUACUGUGAAAAAAUUAGAGUGUUCAAAGCAGGCCUUUGCUCGAAUACAUUAGCAUGGAAUAAUAGAAUAGGACGUGCGGUUCUAUUUUGUUGGUUUCUAGGACCGCCGUAAUGAUUAAUAGGGAUAGUCGGGGGCGUCAGUAUUCAGCUGUCAGAGGUGAAAUUCUUGGAUUUGCUGAAGACUAACUACUGCGAAAGCAUUCGCCAAGGAUGUUUUCAUUAAUCAGGGAACGAAAGUUAGGGGAUCGAAGACGAUCAGAUACCGUCGUAGUCUUAACCAUAAACUAUGCCGACUAGGGAUCGGACGGGAUUCUAUGAUGACCCGUUCGGCGCCUUACGGGAAAC
rnacentral:rRNA from 1 species